UCCCUGGUGGCUUAGAUGGUAAAGAAUCUGUCUGCAAUGCAGGAGACCCAGGUUCAAUCCCUGGGUUGAGAA
rnacentral:tRNA from 1 species